UACGAAGGGGGCUAGCGUUGUUCGGAAUUACUGGGCGUAAAGGGAGCGUAGGCGGACAUUUAAGUCAGGGGUGAAAUCCCGGAGCUCAACUGCGGAACUGCCUUUGAUACUGGGUGUCUUGAGUGUGAGAGAGGUAUGUGGAACUCCGAGUGUAGAGGUGAAAUUCGUAGAUAUUCGGAAGAACACCAGUGGCGAAGGCGACAUGCUGGCUCAUUACUGACGCUGAGGCUCGAAAGCGUGGGGAGCAAACAGG
rnacentral:rRNA from 1 species